CGGCGAGUGAAGCGGCAACAGCUCAAAUUUGAAAUCUGGCCCUAGGCCCGAAUUGUAAUUUGUAGAGGAUGCUUUUGGUGCGGUGCCUUCUGAGUUCCCUGGAACGGGACGCCAAAGAGGGUGAGAGCCCCGUAUAGUCGGACACCAAGCCUCUGUAAAGCUCCUUCGACGAGUCGAGUAGUUUGGGAAUGCUGCUCAAAAUGGGAGGUAAAUCUCUUCUAAAGCUAAAUACCGGCUAGAGACCGAUAGCGCACAAGUAGAGUGAUCGAAAGAUGAAAAGCACUUUGAAAAGAGGGUUAAACAGCACGUGAAAUUGUUGAAAGGGAAGCGCUUGUGACCAGACUUGCGCCCGGUUGAUCAUCCAGCGUUCUCGCUGGUGCACUCUGCCGGGCUCAGGCCAGCAUCGGUUCUCGUGGGGGGAUAAAAGCUUCGGGAAUGUAGCUCCCUCGGGAGUGUUAUAGCCCGCUGCAGAAUACCCUCGCGGGGACCGAGGUUCGCGCUCCGCAAGGAUGCUGGCGUAAUGGUCAUCAGCGACCCGUCUUGAAACACGGACCAAGGAGUCAAGCAUUAGGGCGAGUGUUUGGGUGUAAAACCCGCACGCGUAAUGAAAGUGAAUGUAGGUGAGAGCUUCGGCGCAUCAUCGACCGAUCCUGAUGUAUUCGGAUGGAUUUGAGUAAGAGCCUUACCGCUUGGACCCGAAAGAUGGUGAACUAUGCAUGAAUAGGGUGAAGCCAGAGGAAACUCUGGUGGAGCUCGCAGCGGUUCUGAC
rnacentral:rRNA from 1 species